rnacentral:rRNA from 1 species
AACGAACGCUGGCGGCAGGCUUAACACAUGCAAGUCGAGCGCGUGGCAACACGAGCGGCAGACGGGUGAGUAACACGUGGGAACAUACCCUUUUCUACGGAAUAACGCAGGGAAACUUGUGCUAAUACCGUAUACGCCCUUAGGGGGAAAGAUUUAUCGGAGAAGGAUUGGCCCGCGUUGGAUUAGCUGGUUGGUGGGGUAAAGGCCUACCAAGGCGACGAUCCAUAGCUGGUCUGAGAGGAUGAUCAGCCACAUUGGGACUGAGACACGGCCCAAACUCCUACGGGAGGCAGCAGUGGGGAAUAUUGGACAAUGGGCGCAAGCCUGAUCCAGCCAUGCCGCGUGAGUGAUGAAGGCCUUAGGGUUGUAAAGCUCUUUCACCGGAGAAGAUAAUGACGGUAUCCGGAGAAGAAGCCCCGGCUAACUUCGUGCCAGCCGCCGCUGUAA